GAAAAUGAAGGGAUUCUGGGUGUUCAAGGACAGUGCAACAGAAAUCCAGUGUCUGUUGGUUUCUUGGCUUCGUGCUGCUAAACCUGGUAUUUUUACUGAGACAUUU